rnacentral:lncRNA from 10 species
CGUGAACCACCGUGCCUGGCCACUAACAAUAAUCUUGACUGUUGUUUUGAGGUUUUGUCAGUCUGAUGGGUGAAAAGUAGGCAGCUCACUGUUGCUUUAAUUUGCAUUUCCUUGACUACUAGUGAAUUUCGGUGUCUUUAUUUUCCUAAUAUAUGUUUGCUGGCUAUUUGGCUUUGCUGUUUUAUGCAAAGCUUCCAUGGUAGAGCCAUGACAUUAUUUCUCAACCUCCACAUCUGGGUAAUCACUGAAUCUCAUCAAGGCUCAGUCCCAAACCUCAAUCCUUCUGUCUCUUCCCCAGUCCCUGCUUCACUCUGCCCUCCAACCCCGGUUCUCCCAGAUUCCAUCUCACCCCACCCACCUCCACUCCUCCACCCACCCCAACCCAUGCCAGACCAGAGUAGACAGUGCCUUGGAAUUCCACCUCAAGCCAACCUCUGGCUCAGAUGGAACAUAGAAAUGGCAAAAAUGGUGAAAAUGGUACACAAUGGCCUAAGUUUAAGAAAUAAUGCCCUGCCAGGCACGGUGGCUCACGCCUGUAAUCCCAGCACUUUGGGAGGCCGAGGCGGGCAGAUCACGAGGUCAGGAGUUUAAGACCAGCCUGGCCAACAUGGUGAAACCUCAUCUCCACGAGAAAUACAAACAUUAGCCAGGCAUGGGGGCAGGCGCCUGUAGUCCCAGCUACUCGGGAGGCUGAGGCAGGAGAAUCACUUGAACGUGGGAGGCGGAGGUUGCAGUGAGCCAAGACUGCACCACUGUACUCCAGCCUGGACAACAAAAGCAAAACUCUGUCUCAAAAAUAAAAAAUAAACAAAAGAAAUACUGCCCUAACUGAUGGCAUUCCAAUACUUCCCUGUGAUAGCAGAGAAGAACCUGCUGACUUUCCAACUGAUCUCCCAAACCAAACAACACUCAUUCAUGCACCCCACCACUUUGCCCCACAUCCCUGCACUUUCACAUCUGCUAUUCCCUCUGCCUAAAAUUCCUAUCCCACCUAUUUGACCGCUAACAACCCUGCUGUCGCCCUAUGACAACUAAUAUUUAUUACAGGUCACCAUAAUUGCCCACAAUUUACAUGUCCAACUCCCAGAUUCAGUUUUGAAUUUCUUGAAGACAGCAAC